rnacentral:rRNA from 1 species
AGAGAAAUUUGGAUUAAUACCCCAUAAUAUAUUUGAUAAGGCAUCUUAUUAAUAUUAAAGCUUCGGCACUUGAUGAUGGGUGUGCGGCUGAUUAGAUAGUUGGCGGGGUAACGGCCCACCAAGUCUACGAUCAGUAGCUGAUGUGAGAGCAUGAUCAGCCACACGGGCACUGAGACACGGGCCCGACUCCUACGGGAGGCAGCAGUAAGGAUAUUGGACAAUGGACGAAAGUCUGAUCCAGCCAUGCCGCGUGAAGGAUUAAGGUCCUCUGGAUUGUAAACUUCUUUUAUAUGGGACGAAAAAAGGGCAUUCUUGUUCACUUGGCGGUACCAUAUGAAUAAGCACCGGCUAACUCCGUG